rnacentral:tRNA from 1 species
GGGUCGUUAGCGAAGUUGGUAGAGCAGUUGACUUUUAAUCAAUUGGUCGCAGGUUCGAAUCCUGCACGACCCACCA